rnacentral:misc_RNA from 1 species
UUCACAUCUCCUCUAUUUUUUUAAUGUGGAAGAGAAAUUGAAAUCGUGUUCAUUGAUUUCAUUUGCAGUUUCUAUCAAUGAAGUUGGCAACUGUUAAUCCAAGAAUGGAUAUUAGCAUGGAAGCUCUUCUGUCCAAGGAUGUAAGUUUGGAUCGUUGUUAGAAUUUUUUAUGACCCAGAAUGCCUCAUAUUCUUCAUAGAUAUAAGCUACUAGUAGUAAAAGACCCUCUAGCUGAAUGGGGCAGCGACUAACAACUAGUAGUUUUUUUAAUUAAAAGAAAAAAAGAAAGAAAAUAAUUUUGAUGCAAAUGUUUUUUAAUAUCAUGAUCAUGGAUACUGCAGAUUUUUCAAUCUCGCGGAUCUCUGUCACAAAAUCUUUAUCCAUUGGAGACCUCAGCAGCACUAUCAUUCCCUUAUGGUUACCGGUCCCAGCAAGGGAUAGCCUUGCCUAAUGGCAUGUUUAGUAAUGGAGAAACUCAAUUCUCAACGAACCCUUUAAAUGCUGUUUUGAAGCGAAACCAAUGUAUGCAGUUGCCUGCACUUGAUGGAUUUGGAGAUGCACCACGUCAGGUUUCGACAUUCUGGGAAGAUGAUCUCCAGAGUGUUGUGCAGAUGGGAUUUGGACAGAAUCAGCUGCAGCAGCCGCAGGCCUUUCAUGAUUCAAAUAUGCCUGGAGCUCAGAUGAAAGUUGAGCUAUGAUAAUUAUCGAUCAUUGAGGCCCUGGAGAGAGAGCCUUUGUAUAUAUAUCCAAGUUCUGGUUUGGAUUACUCUUUUAGAUUUGGAGGGGAAAAAAAUUAGACUUUUUCCAUUUAAUAUGUAUAUCUAUAUGUGAUUCAUCUACCUAAUUCUUUGGAGAAGUACUUAUAAAAGAAUUACAUUGUAAAAUAUACAGAUGAUUGGAACCAGUGUUGUGACAUUUCUAGAAGAAAAGACCACAUUUCAAUUUGUAACAGGCCGGGGAUAGAAUUGUUGGAGGGUUGAGGGAAAUUAGAGAAUUGGAUUA